rnacentral:rRNA from 1 species
GACGAACGCUGGCGGCGUGCCUAAUACAUGCAAGUAGAACGCUGAAGGAGGAGCUUGCUUCUCUGGAUGAGUUGCGAACGGGUGAGUAACGCGUAGGUAACCUGCCUGGUAGCGGGGGAUAACUAUUGGAAACGAUAGCUAAUACCGCAUAAGAGUAGAUGUUGCAUGACAUUUGCUUAAAAGGUGCAAUUGCAUCACUACCAGAUGGACCUGCGUUGUAUUAGCUAGUUGGUGAGGUAACGGCUCACCAAGGCAACGAUACAUAGCCGACCUGAGAGGGUGAUCGGCCACACUGGGACGGAGACACGGCCCAGACUCCUACGGGAGGCAGCAGUAGGGAAUCUUCGGCAAUGGACGGAAGUCUGACCGAGCAACGCCGCGUGAGGGAAGAAGGUUUUCGGAUCGUAAAGCUCUGUUGUAAGAGAAGAACGAGUGUGAGAGUGGAAAGUUCACACUGUGACGGUAUCUUACCAGAAAGGGACGGCUAACUACGUG